rnacentral:rRNA from 1 species
UACGUAGGCAGCAAGCGUUGUUCGGAAUUACUGGGCGUAAAGCGCGCGCAGGCGGUCUUCCAAGUCAGUGGUGAAAGCCCGGAGCUCAACUCCGGAACUGCCAUUGAAACUGUUGGACUUGAGUACGAGAGAGGUGAGUGGAAUUCCCAGUGUAGAGGUGAAAUUCGUAGAUAUUGGGAAGAACACCGGUGGCGAAGGCGGCUCACUGGCUCGUAACUGACGCUCAGGCGCGAAAGCGUGGGGAUCAAACAGG